GAUGAACGCUAGCGGCAGGCUUAACACAUGCAAGUCGAGGGGUAGAAGCAGCUUGCUGCUUUGAGACCGGCGCACGGGUGCGUAACGCGUAUGCAAUCUACCUUUUACAGAGGGAUAGCCCAGAGAAAUUUGGAUUAAUACCUCAUAGUAUGUGAGAAUCGCAUGGUUUUCACAUUAAAGUUCCAACGGUAAAAGAUGAGCAUGCGUCCCAUUAGCUAGAUGGUAAGGUAACGGCUUACCAUGGCGACGAUGGGUAGGGGUCCUGAGAGGGAGAUCCCCCACACUGGUACUGAGACACGGACCAGACUCCUACGGGAGGCAGCAGUGAGGAAUAUUGGACAAUGGGCGCAAGCCUGAUCCAGCCAUGCCGCGUGCAGGAUGACGGUCCUAUGGAUUGUAAACUGCUUUUGUACAGGAAGAAACACUCCCUCGUGAGGGAGCUUGACGGUACUGUAAGAAUAAGGAUCGGCUAACU
rnacentral:rRNA from 1 species